rnacentral:rRNA from 1 species
AGCUAAUACCGCAUAACGUCGCAAGACCAAAGAGGGGGACCUUCGGGCCUCUUGCCAUCGGAUGUGCCCAGAUGGGAUUAGCUAGUAGGUGGGGUAACGGCUCACCUAGGCGACGAUCCCUAGCUGGUCUGAGAGGAUGACCAGCCACACUGGAACUGAGACACGGUCCAGACUCCUACGGGAGGCAGCAGUGGGGAAUAUUGCACAAUGGGCGCAAGCCUGAUGCAGCCAUGCCGCGUGUAUGAAGAAGGCCUUCGGGUUGUAAAGUACUUUCAGCGGGGAGGAAGGGAGUAAAGUUAAUACCUUUGCUCAUUGACGUUACCCGCAGAAGAAGCACCGGCUAACUCCGUGCCAGCAGCCGCGGUAAUACGGAGGGUGCAAGCGUUAAUCGGAAUUACUGGGCGUAAAGCGCACGCAGGCGGUUUGUUAAGUCAGAUGUGAAAUCCCCGGGCUCAACCUGGGAACUGCAUCUGAUACUGGCAAGCUUGAGUCUCGUAGAGGGGGGUAGAAUUCCAGGUGUAGCGGUGAAAUGCGUAGAGAUCUGGA